CCGCAAUCUGGAGUACAUCCGGGCGGCGAGGAGACUGAACCCUCGCCAGGCAAGGUGGGCUAUGUUCUUUACCCGAUUUGUUUUCACCCUGUCCUACAGACCAGGUUCCCAGAACGCUAAGGCAGACGCACUGUCCCGGAUGUAUGACACAGUGGAGCGGUCCAUGGAUCACACUCCCAUACUCCCGGCCUCUUGCCUGGUGGCACCGGUAGUGUGGGAGCUGGACGUGUACAUCGAGCGGGCGUUACGUACAGAGCCCACUCCUCUCCAGUGUCCAGCUGGGUGUCUGUACGUUCCGUUUGCUGUCCACGACCGUUUGAUCUAUUGGGCACACACGUCACCCUCCUCUGGUCAUCCUGGCAUCGGUCGGACGGUGCGCUGUCUUCGUGGGAAGUACUGGUGGUCCACCUUGGCCAUGGACGUGAGGGUUUAUGUUUCCUCCUGCUCGGUGUGCGCCCAGUGUAAGGCCCCUAGGCACCUGCCCAGAGGGAAGUUACAGCCCUUACCCGUUCCACAACGGCCGUGGUCGCACCUAUCGGUGGAUUUCCUCACGGAUCUUCCUCCCUCACAGGGUAACACCACGAUCCUGGUCGUUGUGGAUCGGUUCUCUAAGUCCUGCCCUCUCCUUCCUUUGCCCGGUCUCCCUACGGCCCUACAAACUGCGGAGGCUCUGUUUACACACGUCUUCUGGAACUACGUGGUGCCUGAGGAUAUAGUGUCGGAUCGGGGUCCCCAGUUCACCUCAAGGGUCUGGAGGGCGUUCAUGGAACGUCUGGGGGUCUCGGUCAGCCUUACCUCUGGCUUUCACCCCGAGAGCAAUGGGCAGGUGGAGAGAGUAAACCAGGAUGUGGGUAUCUCCGGUUCUGGCACCUUGGCAUCAGAGCCAGAUCGAGGCUCCUGCGGUGGACGAAUGGUCUAAGCGCUCGGAGGAGACCUGGGACGCUGCUCAUGUGCACCUGCAACGGGCCGUGAGGCGUCAGAAGGCGAGCACCGAUCGCCACCAGCAGUGAGGCCCCGGUGUUCGCACUGGGGGACCGGGUCUGGCACUCGACCCGAAACCUGCCCCUCCGCCUGCCCUGCCGGAAGCUGGGCCCGCAGUUUGUGGGGCCAUUUAAAGUCCUGUGGAGACUGAACAAGGUUUGCUACAGGUUACAGCUUCCCCCAGAUUACCGUAUUAACCCCUCGUUCCAUGUGUCUCUCCUCAGGCCGGUGGUGGCUGGUCCACUCCAGGAGUCUGAGGUGCGCGAGGUUCCUCCGCCCCCUCUGGACAUCGAGGGGGCCCCAGCGUAUGCAGUUCGGUCCAUACUGGACUCGAGGCAUCGGGCGAGGGGCCUUCAGUACCUCGUAGAGUGGGAGGGGUACGGUCCGGAGGAGAGAUGCUGGGUGCCGGUGGAGGACGUUUUGGACCCUUCGUUGCUGCUGGACUUCCACCGUCUCCAUCUGGAUCGCCCUGCGCCUCAUCCUCCCGGUUGUCCUCCGAGGUCGGAGCGCUGCUGGAGCCGCGCGUCAAGGGGGGGGGGUACUGUCACGACUUCCCUCUUCUUGUUCGGGUGGCGGUCAACGUCACCGGCCUUCUAGCCUUCUAGCCAUCGCCGAUCCACUUUUCAUUUUCCAUUUGUUUUGUCUAUGUUUUACACACCAGGUUUCAAUUCCCCAAUUACAUGUUCAUUAUUUAACCCUCUGUUUUCCCCAUGGUUUUUGUGAGUGAUUGUUUUAUUGUAAGUUCGGUCCGUUGUUUGUGGGCUUGGUAUUACUUCACGUAUUUGGACAUUUUGAGUAAAGUUCAUUGUGUUACUCAUCUCUGCUGUCCCGCGCCUGACUCCUCUGCACCAGAUACACCCAGAACUUUACAGGUAGCCAUGCUGGUUAAGUGUGCCUUGAAUUCUAAAUAAAUCACAGACAGUGUCACCAACAAAGCACCCCUACACCAUCACACCUCCUCCUCCUCCAUGCUUCACGGAACCACACAUCAUGAUCAUCCAUUCACCUACUCUGUGUCUCACAAAGACAUGGCGGUUGCAACCAAAAAUCUCAGAUUUGGACUCAUCAGACCAAAGGAUAGAUUUCCACCAGUCUAAUGUCCAUUGUUCGUGUUUCUUGGCCCAAGCAAGUCUCUUCUUCUUAUUGGUGUCCUUUAGUAGUGGUUUCUUUGCAGAAAUUAGACUAUGAAGGCCUGAUUCACGCAGUCUCCUCUGAACAGUUGAUGUUGAGAUGUGUCUGUUACUUGAACUCUGUGAAGCAUUUAUUUGGGCUGCAAUUUCUGAGGUUGGUAACUCUAAUGAACUCAUCUUCUGCAGCAGAGGUCUUCCUUUCCUGUGGCGGUCCUCAUGAGAGCCGUAUUGACGGACCUUCAUGUCUUAAAGUAAUGAGGGACUGUCGUUUCUCUUUGCUUAUUUGAGCUGUUCUCGCCAUAAUAUGGACUUGGUCUUUUACCAAAUAAGGCUAUCUUCUGUAUACCAUCCCUAACUUGUCACAACACAACUGAUUGGCUCAAAUGCAUUAAGAAGGAAAGAAAUUCCACUAAUUAACUUUUAACAAGGCACACCUGUUAAUUGAAAUGCAUUCCAGGUGACUACCUCAUGAAGCUGGUUGAGAGAAUGCCAAAAGUGUGCAAAGCCGUCAUCAAGGAAAAGUGUGGCUACUUAUACUACUUACACAUUUGGAUUUGUUUAACACUUUUUUGGUUUCUUCAUGACUCCAUGUUUUAUUUCAUAGUUUUGAUGUCUUCAUUAUUAUUCUACAAUGUAGAAAAUAUUAAAAAAUAAAGAAAAACCC
rnacentral:lncRNA from 1 species